rnacentral:lncRNA from 1 species
UACAUGGCAGUGGUCUCGGUUAGCGGUGUUGCUACAUGGCAGUGGUCUAAGUUAGCAGUGUUGCUACAUGGCAGUGGUUAGCGGUGUUGCUACAUGGCAGCGGUCUUGGUUAGCGGUGUUGCUAGAUGGCAGUGGUCUCGAUUAGCAGUGUUGCUACAUGGCAGUGGUUAGCGGUGUUGCUACAUGGCAGCGGUCUUGGUUAGCGGUGUUGCUAGAUGGCAGUGGUCUCGAUUAGCGGUGUUGCUACAUGGCAGCGGUCUCGGUUAGCGGUGUUGCUACAUGGCAGUGGUUAGCGGUGUUGCUACAUGGCAGCGGUCUCGGUUAGCAGUGUUGCUACAUGGCAGUGGUUAGCGGUGUUGCUACAUGGCAGUGGUCUAAGUUAGCGGUGUUGCUACAUGGCAGUGGUUAGCGGUGUUGCUACAUGGCAGCGGUCUUGGUUAGCGGUGUUGCUAGAUGGCAGUGGUCUCGGUUAGCGGUGUUGCUACAUGGCAGUGGUUAGCGGUGUUGCUACAUGGCAGUGGUCUAAGUUAGCGGUGUUGCUACAUGGCAGUGGUUAGCGGUGUUGCUACAUGGCAGUGGUCUAAGUUAGCGGUGUUGCUACAUGGCAGUGGUUAGCGGUGUUGCUACAUGGCAGCGGUCUUGGUUAGUGGUGUUGCUACAUGGCAGUGGUCUAAGUUAGCGGUGUUGCUACAUGGCAGUGGUUAGCGGUGUUGCUACAUGGCAGCGGUCUUGGUUAGCGGUGUUGCUAGAUGGCAGUGGUCUCAGUUAGCGGUGUUGCUACAUGGCAGCGGUCUCGGUUAGCGGUGUUGCUACAUGGCAGUGGUUAGCGGUGUUGCUACAUGGCAGUGGUCUAAGUUAGCGGUGUUGCUACAUGGCAGUGGUUAGCGGUGUUGCUACAUGGCAGUGGUCUAAGUUAGCGGUGUUGCUACAUGGCAGUGGUUAGCGGUGUUGCUACAUGGCAGCGGUCUUGGUUAGCGGUGUUGCUACAUGGCAGUGGUUAGCGGUGUUGCUACAUGGCAGUGGUCUAAGUUAGCGGUGUUGCUACAUGGCAGUGGUUAGCGGUGUUGCUACAUGGCAGCGGUCUCGGUUAGCGGUGUUGCUACAUGGCAGUGGUCUAAGUUAGCGGUGUUGCUACAUGGCAGUGGUUAGCGGUGUUGCUACAUGGCAGUGGUCUAAGUUAGCGGUGUUGCUACAUGGCAGUGGUUAGCGGUGUUGCUACAUGGCAGUGGUCUAAGUUAGCGGUGUUGCUACAUGGCAGUGGUUAGCGGUGUUGCUACAUGGCAGCGGUUAGCGGUGUUGCUACAUGGCAGUGGUCUCGGUUAGCGGUGUUGCUACAUGGCAGUGCCAGUAGAUGACCAGUUGAUGGCAGACAGUGCCUAGCAACAGCAACAGUCUCUCAUCACUCUGUGUGGAAUAGGAAGCUGCUACAGUAAACAGGAAGUGACGGCUGCUUAGCUGUUCCCCCCGUCCUCCCUCCUCUGCUCCUCCUCUCCCCUCCCUCUGUUCUCCAGACUGAAUAUAGGACUGUGAUGAUGGUGAUGGCCUGAAGUGUCGUGCAGAAUGUGUUUGUGUUUUCUUUGAGGAUGUGUGUGUGUGUGUGUGUGUGUGUGUGUGUGUGUGUGUGUGUGUGUGUGUGUGUGUGUGUGUGUGUGUGUGUGUGUGUGUGUGUGUGUGUGUGUGUGUGUGUGCGUGUGUGUGUGAUGGAGAGAGCUGGGUAGACAGGCUGUAUUGAAGCAGAGGGGCUAUGAACAAAAGGUCUAAUGCUGCAGGAAGGACAUAGCAGAGAGAGAGAAGAAGAGAGAUGGAGAGAGAUAGUGGAGGGAGAGAGAGAGAAUGAAAGAGAGAGAGAGAAGAAGAGAAAGAGAGAGAGGAGAGAGACAGAGAGAGCGAGAGGAGGAGAGAGAGGAAACAGUGAGAGGACGAGAGAGACAGAGAGAGCGAGAGGAGUAGAGAGAGCGGGAGAGAGAGCGAGAGGAGGAGAGAGAGAGAUAGAAGGAAACAGAGAGAGGAGGAGAGAGAGAGAAAGAGAGAGAGAGAGGGGAGGCAAGGAAGGAUAGAGGAGUGAGAGGAAGAGAGUGCCAGAACUCAAAGUGAGUGCAGCUAAAUCUCUCAAAGCUCAGUAAAUAAAACAGAGGGCUCUUAGAAAACAAACCCUUCUACACUGUUAGAACCCUUCUCCACUAUGUCAGGACCCUUCUACACUAUGUCAGGACCCUUUUACACUAUGUCAGGACCCUUCUACACUAUGUCAGGACCCUUCUACACUAUGUCAGGACCCUUCUACACUGUAGGAUAUCUUCUACACUAUGUCAGGACCCUUCUACACUAUGUCAGGACCAUUUUACACUAUGUCAGGACCCUUCUACACAGUAGGAAAUCUUCUACACUAUGUCAGGACCCUUCUACACUAUGUCAGGACCCUUCUACACUAUGUCAAGGCACUUCUACACUAUGUCAGGACCCUUCUACACUAUGUCAGGACCCUUCUACACUAUGUCAGGACCCUUCUACACUAUGUCAGGACCCUUCUACACUGUAGGAAAUUGUCUACACUAUGUCAGGACCCUUCUACACUGUAGGAAAUUGUCUACACUAUGUCAGGACCCUUCUACACUAUGUCAGGACCCUUCUCCACUAUGCCAGGACCCUUCCACAAUGUAGGAAAUCUUCUACACUAUGGCAGGACCCUUCUCCACUAUGUCAGGACCCUUCUACAAUGUAGGAAAUCUUCUACACUAUGUCAGGACCCUUCUCCACUAUGUCAGGACCCUUUUACACUAUGUCAGGAUCAUUCUACAAUUAGGAAAUCUUCUACACUAUGU